GACGAACGCUGGCGGCGUGCUUAACACAUGCAAGUCGAACGGAAAGGCCUUUUCGGAGGUACUCGAGUGGCGCACGGGGGAGUAACACGUGGGUGAUCUGCCCUGCACUCUGGGACAAGCCUGGGAAACUGGGUCUAAUACCGGAUAGGACCGCACUUUAGUGUGUGUGGUGGAAAGUUUUUUCGGUGUAGGAUGAGCCCGCGGCCUACCAGCUUGUUGGUGCGGUUAUGGCCUACCAAGGCGGCGACAGGUAGCCGGACUGAGGAGUUGGUCGGCGGUAUUGAGUCUGAGAGGCGGCACAGACUCCGACGGGAGGAAGAAGUGGGGAAUAUUGAACCAUGGACGCAAGCCGGAUGCAGCGAGGCCGCGGGUGGGAAGACGGCCUUCGGGUUGUAAACUCCUUUCGCCAGGGACGAAGCGUUUUGUGACGGUACCUAGAGAAGAAGCACCGGCUAACUACGUG
rnacentral:rRNA from 1 species